GCGGACGGGUGAGUAACACGUGGGUAACCUGCCCUAAAGUGGGGGAUAACAUUUGGAAACAGAUGCUAAUACCGCAUAAAACCUAACACCGCAUGGUGUAGGGUUGAAAGAUGGUUUCGGCUAUCACUUUAGGAUGGACCCGCGGUGCAUUAGUUAGUUGGUGAGGUAAAGGCUCACCAAGACCGUGAUGCAUAGCCGACCUGAGAGGGUAAUCGGCCACACUGGGACUGAGACACGGCCCAGACUCCUACGGGAGGCAGCAGUAGGGAAUCUUCCACAAUGGACGAAAGUCUGAUGGAGCAACGCCGCGUGAGUGAAGAAGGUUUUCGGAUCGUAAAACUCUGUUGUUGGAGAAGAAUGUAUCUGAUAGUAACUGAUCAGGUAGUGACGGUAUCCAACCAGAAAGCCACGGCUAACUACGUGCCAGCAGCCGCGGUAAUACGUAGGUGGCAAGCGUUGUCCGG
rnacentral:rRNA from 1 species